rnacentral:tRNA from 1 species
UAAAUGGAAGCUAAUAAAGCACCUAUCUGUUAAUUAGGCCUCUGCUGCACACUAGCAGCCCAUUUAG